rnacentral:miRNA from 1 species
UGAGGAUCCUGGGGAGAAGAUGC